rnacentral:sRNA from 3 species
UUGCUAUCUGCGAUAUGGAAGAUUCGAACCUGCCGCAGGUUCGGGUCUCACGUAGUGAGACAACGGAGCCGUUUACGGCGACGGCCCGAAGGGCGAGGCGAAGCCGAGUCAUCCUGCACGACCCACCA